CGAACGAUGAUGCCCAGCUUGCUGGGCGGAUUAGUGGCGAACGGGUGAGAAAUACGUGAGUAACCUGCCCUUGACUCUGGGAUAAGCCUGGGAAACUGGGUCUAAUACUGGAUACUACCGCUUACCGCAUGGUGGGUGGUGGAAAGGGUUUUACUGGUUUUGGAUGGGCUCACGGCCUAUCAGCUUGUUGGUGGGGUAAUGGCUCACCAAGGCGACGACGGGUAGCCGGCCUGAGAGGGUGACCGGCCACACUGGGACUGAGACACGGCCCAGACUCCUACGGGAGGCAGCAGUGGGGAAUAUUGCACAAUGGGCGGAAGCCUGAUGCAGCGACGCCGCGUGAGGGAUGACGGCCUUCGGGUUGUAAACCUCUUUCAGUAGGGAAGAAGCGAGAGUGACGGUACCUGCAGAAGAAGCGCCGGCUAACUACGUGCCAGCAGCCGCGGUAAUACGUAGGGCGCAAGCGUUGUCCGGAAUUAUUGGGCGUAAAGAGCUCGUAGGCGGUUUGUCGCGUCUGCUGUGAAAGCCCGGGGCUCAACCCCGGGUCUGCAGUGGGUACGGGCAGACUAGAGUGCAGUAGGGGAGACUGGAAUUCCUGGUGUAGCGGUGAAAUGCGCAGAUAUCAGGAGGAACACCGAUGGCGAAGGCAGGUCUCUGGGCUGUUACUGACGCUGAGGAGCGAAAGCAUGGGGAGCGAACAGGAUUAGAUACCCUGGUAGUCCAUGCCGUAAACGUUGGGCACUAGGUGUGGGGGACAUUCCACGUUUUCC
rnacentral:rRNA from 1 species